rnacentral:tRNA from 1 species
GUCUCAGUGGUGAAGUGGUUGGAGCACAAGCCCAAGUUAAGCGCGAGACGCGGGAUCGAAUCUCGCCUGAGAUG